GCUCUGAUCCCCGUUCUGCGCAUGCGCGAAAAAAGAAAAAAAGGUUAACGGCUCGGGCAACGUUUUUGUUUUGCUCAGAGGCUCGGCAAAUCGUCAGCGCGGGAAAGAUGGCAGUUGAAUGCGAGGUGCCCUCUCCAGUUCCCCUGAUGGAUCUGCGGAGUCGGAUAUCUGGCGCUGCGGAGAACCGAGCUGAUUGCAGUACCAGCACUCUGAAGCACUUAUUUGAGCAGGAAAGAUAAAGAGGAGCCGAUUACCCUUGAGAGGGAGGACCAGCUGCGGGCCGCACCCACGUGGAAACUGGAAGGGCGAGCCUCUCCUGGACAGCCCGUAUUUGGAUCUCCUGGUCUGAGCUGAUGAUUGCCAUCCUCCAGGCAUAAUCUCUGCUGAGAGGCUCGCCAUCGUGCAGCGCUAUGCAUUGCCAGAGCACGUGAGAGGAAUUUGUCAUGCUGCAACAGACGGUGGGGCAGCACCAUUGCCGUAUCAGGAGGCAACAGUUUCCUCAAUUCCGUGGAGGAAUCAUGGAGUGAAACCUAGCUCCCAACAAACGUGGCCAGCAGAUCACUGACGAGGAAGAGGAGGCUCAAGUAACACUCCUCAACGAAGCUUGGCGGGCUCAGCUGCUGAGGCCUGUGGAGCCCUGGACUGGGAACCUCACCGACAUGCUUCUCCAACCUCUUUCCUUUUACAAUAAAUAAUUCUCAGUUAAUA
rnacentral:lncRNA from 1 species